ACCCUGGGCGGGGCCCUGGCCGGCAGCCUCGAAGACCCGCUGAGGGAUGGAGGCCGCCCCACCCGGGCUCCCUCAGCCCCUCUGCUCCACAUCAGAACAAAGACAAUGAUUAACAAGCCCACUUGGAAAAGCCAUUAAAACUGCCCCAACCCUCCCUCUGGUUUUCUUACAUUCUUUGGUUUAAUACCUCAUUCCUUGGCCGGAAGUAAAAAGGGAGAAAAUAUUAAAGACAGUCCUGGGGACCCAAGGGAUUUUCCUUCUUUGUUGGGGUCAGGAUCACUGUCGUCCUCCCUGGAAGGGGAGCUGGGGGUCUGGGCCAGGAGCCCCCGCUGGUUUGAAUUCUUCAAGGUCCGGGAGAAGUAACCCUGAACUUUGCAGGUUGUUGGAGGCAUGUGGGGACUUGGAAGCUGUGUUUCUAAAGCCUUGGCCUGGUGUGUCCCCGCAGCUCUGCCGGAACCCUAUACAAUAUCUGGAAAUGACACAAGAACAUUCCGGAGCCCAGAGGUUGUGCUUGGGAGAGGAAUACAAGCCUCUCUGGGUUCUUUUGAAUAUUGGGACCUAUUUUCAGCAGAAAGGAAGUAGCCAAGAAAACAGGGCUGAUGAAGGCUAGUAGGGCCUUCGUUUGCCCAACUGAUACUCGAAUUUUCCUCCAGGAUAACGCCCAGGAAUUUAAACCCUGUUGGCUCAACAGAGAAGCUUGGGGUGAGGGUAGGGGUGCAAAAUGUGUGUGUGUGUGUUUUAAAGGAUGUUGGAAUUAUAGGGAAGGAAAGAUCCCUUGCUUUCUGGGUUUUUCUUGUUGUUUGUUCAUCUCUGAUUUUCUAAUACAAAGGCCCAGGGGGCAGUGGGCUGGCCAGGGGGUCCUGGUGUGAGGACAGGGGAGGCAGUAGGUCCCAGGUCAGCUGGGCUGGGGAGGGGGCUCCCGCACAUUGGACCGGAAGACUGGGGGCCAGGGAGCCAGCGUGCGCCGACCUGGGCCCCCAGCACGUCCUGAGUGAGUGCAGAGAACCAGGUGGGGCUGCCCUCGCUGGGGCUGAUAGCAGGGGUUCCGAUGUCCACACUGGCCAAGGACGCGCACUGUCAAAAUGGUGACCCAGCUCUUGUUUCUGGAGACGAUGCUUCUGGAGUUUCCGUCUGGAAGAUGGAAAAUCCUAUGGACGGAGGGUGCAGAUGGCUGCAAGUCACGAAUGUGGUUAGUCCACUGAGCUGUGCACCUAAAAAUGGUGAAGACGGUUCCGGGACUUGGGAAAUGGCUGGAGGCAAACAGCACAGACCUGGAGCGGCAAGAAUCUCCGUGGACCAGAGGAGACCUUCCCACGUGUCUUUUAUAUUCUUCCACAGUUGUGUGAAUUUGUCACCGGGACACAGUAAUUUUUAGGCAAGGUUUAGAAGCUAUUGGCAUGAUCCCAAUUAUGUAUAUAUGGAUAGAAAAAUUUAUAUAUCAUAUAGAAGUGAAAUUAUAUAUUGUAUGCAAACAUAUAUAGUAUAUAUGUGCGUAUAAGUAUGUGUAUGGUGUGUGUGUUAUACACACACAUGCGCAGAUGUGCUUACAUAUGCACACAUUUCCCACUUAAGCAGAUGCAGGAAGUGUCAUGGAGGGAGACCUCCGACGUUAUAGGGAGUUACUGCGACCUGGUGUGGGGGGGCAGUGUUACAAAUGACUUUCAGUUUUCUUCUAUUUGCUUGGUUAAUUGUGUAGAAUGAGUGUUUACCAUAUAUAUUUUUUAAAGCCAGUAAGAAAAAAUUUGUACAAAAGGAAA